GUGCCAGCCGCCGCGGUAAUACGGGGGGAGCAAGCGUUGUUCGGAUUUACUGGGCGUAAAGGGCGCGUAGGCGGCCAGCGCAAGUCAGUUGUGAAAUCUCCGGGCUUAACUCGGAAAGGUCAACUGAUACUGCGCGGCUAGAGUGCAGAAGGGGCAACUGGAAUUCUCGGUGUAGCGGUGAAAUGCGUAGAUAUCGAGAGGAACACCUGCGGCGAAGGCGGGUUGCUGGGCUGACACUGACGCUGAUGCGCGAAAGCCAGGGGAGCGAACGGGAUUAGAUACCCUCGUAGUCC
rnacentral:rRNA from 1 species